UGUUGACGUUGAGACUGGACACAGGAACUCUGCCUAGAAGGCCAGCAUCCCAGAGUCGCCUCUUCACUGUUGACGUUGAGACUGGACACAGGAACUCUGCCUAGAAGGCCAGCAUCCCAGAGUCGCCUCUUCACUGUUGACGAUUAGACUGGACACAGGAACUCUGCCUAGAAGGCCAGCAUCCCAGAGUCGCCUCUUCACUGUUGACGUUGAGACUGGACACAGGAACUCUGCCUAGAAGGCCAGCAUCCCAGAGUGGCCUCUUCACUGUUGACGUUGAGACUGGACACAGGAACUCUGCCUAGAAGGCCAGCAUCCCAGAGUCGCCUCUUCACUGUUGACGAUUAGACUGGACACAGGAACUCUGCCUAGAAGGUCAGCAUCCCAGAGUCGCCUCUUCACUGUUGACGUUG
ensembl:lncRNA